rnacentral:rRNA from 1 species
AGAUUGAACUGAAGAGUUUGAUCCUGGCUCAGAUUGAACGCUGGCGGCAUGCUUUACACAUGCAAGUCGAACGGUAACAGGGUGCUUGCACCGCUGACGAGUGGCGAAC